GACGAACGCUGGCGGCGUGCCUAAUACAUGCAAGUAAAACGCUGAGGUUUGGUGUUUACACUAGACUGAUGAGUUGCGAACGGGUGAGUAACGCGUAGGUAACCUGCCUCAUAGCGGGGGAUAACUAUUGGAAACGAUAGCUAAUACCGCAUAAGAGUAAUUAACACAUGUUAGUUAUUUAAAAGGAGCAAUUGCUUCACUGUGAGAUGGACCUGCGUUGUAUUAGCUAGUUGGUGAGGUAAAGGCUCACCAAGGCGACGAUACAUAGCCGACCUGAGAGGGUGAUCGGCCACACUGGGACUGAGACACGGCCCAGACUCCUACGGGAGGCAGCAGUAGGGAAUCUUCGGCAAUGGACGGAAGUCUGACCGAGCAACGCCGCGUGAGUGAAGAAGGUUUUCGGAUCGUAAAGCUCUGUUGUUAGAGAAGAACGUUGGUAGGAGUGGAAAAUCUACCAAGUGACGGUAACUAACCAGAAAGGGACGGCUAACUACGUGCCAGCAGCCGCGGUAAUACGUAGGUCCCGAGCGUUGUCCGGAUUUAUUGGGCGUAAAGCGAGCGCAGGCGGUUCUUUAAGUCUGAAGUUAAAGGCAGUGGCUUAACCAUUGUACGCUUUGGAAACUGGAGGACUUGAGUGCAGAAGGGGAGAGUGGAAUUCCAUGUGUAGCGGUGAAAUGCGUAGAUAUAUGGAGGAACACCGGUGGCGAAAGCGGCUCUCUGGUCUGUAACUGACGCUGAGGCUCGAAAGCGUGGGGAGCAAACAGG
rnacentral:rRNA from 1 species